rnacentral:lncRNA from 1 species
CCUGUGCGUGCAUCCGGGUCCCCGCGCAGUGGCUGCACGCAGCCCACCUCUCCCGACGAUCCGGGUCCUCCCGCCCUUCGCGGUGAUUCUGUCGCGAACCCUCUCACGGCAGCUAUGAGACUGCUGCGCUCCCCAGACGAGGAAACCUGGUCUCCCGGAGCCAGCGAGGGGACGCACAGCCCCACUCAGGAGGGAGCCAAUGACAUUGAAC